rnacentral:rRNA from 1 species
GACGAACGCUGGCGGCGUGCUUAACACAUGCAAGUCGAACGCUGAAGCCCUUCGGGGUGGAUGAGUGGCGAACGGGUGAGUAACACGUGGGUAAUCUGCCCUGCACUCUGGGAUAAGCCUUGGAAACGGGGUCUAAUACCGGAUAGGACACAUCGCCGCAUGGUGUGUGUGUGGAAAGUUCCGGCGGUGCAGGUUGAGCCCGCGGCCUAUCAGCUUGUUGGUGGGGUGAUGGCCUACCAAGGCGACGACGGGUAGCCGGCCUGGGAGGGUGACCGGCCACACUGGGACUGAGACACGGCCCAGACUCCUACGGGAGGCAGCAGUGGGGAAUCUUGCGCAAUGGGCGAAAGCCUGACGCAGCAACGCCGCGUGGGGGAUGACGGCCUUCGGGUUGUAAACCUCUUUCGACCGGGACGAAGGAUUCGUUUGACGGUACCGGUAGAAGAAGCACCGGCUAACUACGUGCCAGCCGCCGCUGUAAAAC